CAAGCGUUGGCUCUACAAGUCUAACAUAAGCCAAAGUGAGGAAGCUGGCCCAGGGAAGAGCUGGGAGAGCCUGGGACAGCCUUCCUCCCUCUCAACUGUAAUACAGGCCUCUACACAGACCUCUAUAUGGGCCUCUCUAUAUUAGCACUUCUUUUCAGGAUGGUGACAGAUAAGAAAACUGGGAAGAUUUUAAUGCUGGAUCUGAGAUUGAUGGAUUCACAGGAUAAAUAAAUACUAAAUACUAGAAUAAUGGCCAGUUCACCUAAAUCCAGCCAUUUAAAAAAAUGUUGAAUAUGCACAUUAAAUGAACAUGUUUACCAUAAAUAAAAACAGAGACCAGCCCACAGGGUUGGCUUUUUCCAUGUUUGACACUGGAAGAUGUCUGGUGCUUACUCACCCUCGGCUACGGUCAAUCUCAUCACGAAGGUUUCGUUUUCUCCUGCGCUGGCCUGCAAGUAGCAGCGGUAAAGCCCCGAGUCUGAGGCUGUGA